CAGCCGCCGCGGUAAUACGAAGGGGGCUAGCGUUGUUCGGAUUAACUGGGCGUAAAGGGCGCGUAGGCGGGUUUUUAAGUCAGAGGUGAAAUCCCAAGGCUCAACCUUGGAACUGCCUUUGAUACUGGAAGUCUUGAGUCCGGGAGAGGUGAGUGGAACUGCGAGUGUAGAGGUGAAAUUCGUAGGUAUUCGCAAGAACACCAGUGGCGAAGGCGGCUCACUGGCCCGGUACUGACGCUGAGGCGCGAAAGCGUGGGGAGCAAACAGGAUUAGAUACCCGCGUAGUCCCUGUCUCUUAUAC
rnacentral:rRNA from 1 species